rnacentral:rRNA from 1 species
GUGGGGAAUCUUGCACAAUGGGGGAAACCCUGAUGCAGCGACGCCGCGUGAGCGAUGAAGCCCUUCGGGGUGUAAAGCUCUUUCGACGGGAACGAUGAUGACGGUACCCGGAGAAGAAGCUGCGGCUAACUACGUGCCAGCAGCCGCGGUAAUACGUAGGCAGCAAGCGUUGUUCGGAGUUACUGGGCGUAAAGAGUGCGUAGGCGGUUCCGUAAGUUUGUUGUGAAAUCUCCCGGCUUAACUGGGAGGGUGCGGCGAAAACUGCGGGGCUGGAGUGUGGGAGAGGUAAGCGGAAUUCCUGGUGUAGCGGUGAAAUGCGUAGAUAUCAGGAGGAACACCGGCGGUGUAGACGGCUUACUGGACCAUGACUGACGCUGAGGCACGAAAGCGUGGGGAGCAAACAGGAUUAGAUACCCGGGUAGUCC